GGGGAAUUUUGGACAAUGGGGGCAACCCUGAUCCAGCCAUGCCGCGUGAGUGAAGAAGGCCUUCGGGUUGUAAAGCUCUUUCGGACGGAAAGAAAUCGCUGCCUCUAACAUAGGCGGUGGAUGACGGUACCGUAAGAAGAAGCACCGGCUAACUACGUGCCAGCAGCCGCGGUAAUACGUAGGGUGCGAGCGUUAAUCGGAAUUACUGGGCGUAAAGCGUGCGCAGGCGGUUUGGUAAGACAGGUGUGAAAUCCCCGGGCUUAACCUCAGAACUGCCCUUGAUACUGGCGAUCUCGAGUUCGAGAGAGGUUGGUGGAACUCCGAGUGUAGAGGUGAAAUUCGUAGAUAUUCGGAAGAACACCAGUGGCGAAGGCGGCCAACUGGCUCGAUACUGACGCUGAGGUGCGAAAGCGUGGGGAGCAAACA
rnacentral:rRNA from 1 species